UAGGUAACGGUAGUGGGUGGAUAAGAAAUGAACUAGCCAGCUGUGACAGUAGGUUGGACAAGAAACAUUUUACUAAAUGCACUGGAAUGAAAAACGACGAACCCUAUAGAAGACAGCUAUUUGAAAAGUCUGCUUCUACAGAGGGUACUGCCAGAGCGCCUUCAGCACCCUGGACAGUGGCCACCGCACGUGCUCUCCGACCUACGCUAGAUCUAGCUCUCCUGCUAAGGAACCUCCCCUGCUUGCUCACCUAGGCAACACUGGAACACUUUUUCAAAGGGUUAUGUGUGAUCACAUAUCCCCAAUAUGAUCGAACAUAAAAGAACAGGUGGUUGUGAAGACCUGAUCAAAGUUGAGGAUUUUGGUGGACAGCAUUCACUUUACAAUUGAAUAACUGAAAUUCCAAGUCUGCAUGCAGCAUUGACUCAUUGAAAGGCUUGGAUAAGAGAAUCCUACAACCUCGGGACAUUGUGGAGUAACUUUGUGGACGUUGUGAAGGAACUCAUCGCAGAAAACAUCCUGCAUUACAAAGCAGCGGAUCACCGACAACAUGGACGUCGUGAAAAGUUUGAACUUAACAGACAAAGCAGGACAUUUGAUCAAAAUCCUUAUUAAUGAUGAGGAUAUUCUCUAUAAGGAAUAUAAGCCUCCUCCUAGGGACAUUAUCCAGCUGCCUAAAUCCAUGCUAUAUCUGCUGAUGGCAGCUGUCGUGGUGGUGGCUGUGGCUUACGCUAUCGUCGGUCACCUCAUCAAGGACCUGGCCCUGGACAUAGCAGACUGCCUGCUGGGUCCCGUGGAGCCUGAUCCCCUGAAGGAUGGUGACCUGAAGCCCUGCGGUCCUUCCCACAUGCCCCCCAUCAUGACCAACUCCCACCACAACGCCUUCCACGUCUGGGACACAGACAACAUCAUCAUCCCCAUGACCCCCAUCGAGGGGAGCCCUCUGGCCAGCCCGCUGCUGAAUGUCAUAACCCACAUACCCUCCUUCUUCCCGCACUCGCUCAGCGUCAACAGCCCUGCCUUGAGCCAUUCCCUACAUGGCCGAGAGAUGAGAGAGUCGGACGCCUAAGGCCGACCACUGGAGGCCGGUAGCCAAGCGGUAUGAGCUUUGGGCCAGUAACCGAAAUGUUGCUAGUAAUGGCCAACUCUGGCCUUGCCCCCAUUCUCCGAGGGUGUCUCAGGGAAAGUGGGAUAUGCAAAAUCACAUUUUCCAAUUCACACACUUGUACAUGUGCGAAUUAGGACAAAUAUUAGCACCCACCCACAAGAUACGGUGAAAUAGCCACAGAGAGAGCAAGAGGCCUAGGGACCACCCAUGGGAUGAUGCAAUAAGUACUUUAUCAAAGGUGACCCACCUGCUCUAAAGAUGGAGGAUUGUUUAGCAUGAGUGUCUUGUCUAAAAUCAUCUGAAGCCAUUCAAGGCACAGUGCAAUAACACUCAUUUUAUUGGUUCUUUUGAGGACAGUAGGCUUACAGUCAGAAAGGUACAUUUUAAUCCAGUACUGGUAAACCAUAUUUAGUUAGCUAUUCCAUUAGCGGUUAUUCUGGUGUUCAUCUUAAUUUGAUUCAUAUGGCUCAUGUCAUUUCCAGUACCAAACCUGUAGCAUUCGAGCAGAUCUCUAUGCAGUACCAACCCUGUAGCAUGCUAGCAGAUCCCCAUAGACUUCCAGUCAUUGCGCUAACUCUUGUUAGCAUUGGCUUGUGAAACUACCUCUAACUUCCUUCAUACUCUUACUGGACACAGACAUAAAAGUGGUAUCCACAAGUUCAUCUAACUCGGGGGAAGUAGAUAAAGGGCCUCAUUGCCAAAAUCCCGAAGUAUAACCGUACCAAACUUUCUUGUUUAGCCUCAACACAUUCCAUCCCAAAAUGUCAGAGGAACAAAAGAAAUACUUUUGAAUGUUUUGGGCACAUCAUUGUGUAUUCACCAGGUGAAAAGAAAAUCACGGGACAUCAUAGGACUGCACACAAUCGAUUGACGGUUUUAUGACGCUUUUGUAAUUUCACCAACUUGGUUGGAGAGUUAUAGAUAUCGGCCAAGCUUAAUGUAUUUGGAUGGACCUUUUCUGGAGUUGGCCCAAGUGGACAUAUUCUUCACAUCUUUCCAAUCAAGGAAACCCCAGUUGAACAUGCAGAGAUACUGCCUCACUUGGCCAGGUUUCCCUUGGCAAAGAGGUCUUCUGACCUCAAUGGGACCAUCUGAUUAACAAAAGGUGAAACUAAAGGGGUUCUGAUUUAAAACCAAAGUUGGUGGGAGCAGUGCAAUGAUGGAAAGGGAGUGAUGGAAGCGUUACCUAUCAUCCCUCUUUAAAGCUUGAAGGGAUAGCUUCAGAUUGACUGGCUGUUGUGUAUUAAUGGCCAUGGGACAAGGAGAGGGAUGCCGGACUUCCCCUGUGAACUUUCCAUCGGAUUUGUGACAAGUCACCACACUUCCUUCCUCUCUUUGACACCAACAGACUAGUGACUUUUCCUCCUCGAGCAUUUAAACAUUAAAACUACCAAUAAACACACAGAAA
ensembl:lncRNA